GACGAACGCUGGCGGUAUGCUUAACACAUGCAAGUCGAACGAGACGAAGAUGAAGUGCUUGCACGGAUUCUUUAGAAAGUGGCGAACGGGUGAGUAACGCGUGGGUAACCUGCCCUAUGGAAAGGAAUAGCCUCGGGAAACUGGGAGUAAUGCAUUAUAAUAUAUCGAAGUCGCAUGGCUUUGAUAUUAAACGCUCCGGUGCCAUAGGAUGGACCCGAGUCCCAUUAGCUAGUUGGGGAGAUAACAGCCCACCAAGGCGACGAUGGGUAACCGGUCAGAGAGGGCGAACGGUCACACUGGAACUGAGACACGGUCCAGACUCCUACGGGAGGCAGCAGUGGGGAAUAUUGCGCAAUGGGGGCAACCCUGACGCAGCAAUACCGCGUGAGUGAAGAAGGUUUUCGGAUCGUAAAGCUCUGUUAUUGGGGAAGAAAAAAAGACGGUACCCAAGAAGAAAGUCCCGGCUAACUACGUGCCAGCAGCCGCGGUAA
rnacentral:rRNA from 1 species